GAUACGGGGGAGAGAUAGCAUGCGAGUUGAGCGCUCCCUAGCCAUGUUGGGAGAGCAGCGAACGGCUCAGUAACACGUAGUUAAUCUGCCCUUGGGACGGAGAUAACCCUGGGAAACUGGGACUAAUAUCCGAUAGAUGAAAAUGUCUGGAACGAUUUUUCACCUAAAAGUUUCUAGAAACAUGCUUCUAGAAACGCCCAAGGAUGAGACUGCGGCCGAUCAGGCAGUUGGUGGGGUAACGGCCCACCAAACCUAUAACCGGUACGGGCCCUGAAAGGGGGAGCCCGGAGAUGGGAACUGAGACAAGGUCCCAGGCCCUACGGGGCGCAGCAGGCGCGAAACCUCCACAAUGCGCGAAAGCGUGAUGGGGUUAUCCCGAGUGCCGUCCGAUGAGGAUAGCUUUUCCUCAGUGUAAGCAUCUGAGGGAAUAAAGGGGGGGCAAGUCUGGUGUCAGCCGCCGCGGUAAUACCAGCCCCCUGAGUGAUAGGGACAACUAUUUAGCCUAAAGCGUCCGUAGCCGGCUUAGUAAGUCUCUCGUUAAAUCUAACGACUUAAUCGUUAGGCCGCGGAAGAUACUGCUAGGCUUGAGGGCGGGAGAGGUUGACGGUAGUCCUGGGGUAGGGGUGAAAUCCUAUAAUCCCAGGAGGACCACCAGUGGCGAAGGCGGUCAACUAGAACGCGCCUGACGGUGAGGGACGAAAGCUGGGGGAGCAAACCGGAUUAGACACCCGGGUAGUCCCAGCUGUAAACGAUGCGGGCUAGGUGUUGGAGCAGCUACGAGCUGUUCCAGUGCCGCAGAGAAGUUGUUAAGCCCGCCGCUUGGGAAGUACGGCCGCAAGGCUGAAACUUAAAGGAAUUGGCGGGGGGAGCACCACAAGGGGUGAAGCCUGCGGUUCAAUUGGAGUCAACGCCGGG
rnacentral:rRNA from 1 species